GCGGCCUAUCAGCUUGUUGGGGAGGUAACGGCUCACCAAGGCUUCGACGGGUAGCUGGUCUGAGAGGAUGAUCAGCCACACUGGGACUGAGACACGGCCCAGACUCCUACGGGAGGCAGCAGUGGGGAAUCUUGCGCAAUGGGCGAAAGCCUGACGCAGCCACGCCGCGUGCGGGAUGAAGGCCUUAGGGUUGUAAACCGCUUUUAACAGGAACGAAAAUGACGGUACCUGUAGAAUAAGGUGCGGCCAACUACGUGCCAGCAGCCGCGGUGACACGUAGGCACCAAGCGUUGUCCGGAUUUAUUGGGCGUAAAGAGCUCGUAGGCGGUUCAGUAAGUCGGGCGUGAAAACUCUGGGCUUAACCCAGAGACGCCACUCGAUACUAUUGUGACUAGAGUUCGGUAGGGGAGACUGGAAUUCCU
rnacentral:rRNA from 1 species